CGGCCCGCACAAGCAGCGGAGCGUGUGGUUUAAUUCGAUGUUACACGAAGAACCUUACCAGGGUUUGACAUGCAAGUGGUAGGAAGCCGAAAGGUGACCGACCCUUCGGGGAGCUUGCACAGGUGCUGCAUGGCUGUCGUCAGCUCGUGUCGUGAGAUGUUCGGUUAAGUCCGCUAACGAGCGCAACCCUCGCUGUGUGUUAUAUGUGUCACACGGGACUGCCGGUCUUAAGCCGGAGGAAGGUGGGGAUGAUGUCAAGUCAGCAUGGCCUUUAUAUCCUGGGCUACACACACGCUACAAUGGCCAACACAAUAGGUUGCUAAGCCGCGAGGUGGCGCCAAUCCAUAAAGUUGGUCUCAGUUCAGAUUGUAGGCUGCAACCCGCCUGCAUGAAGAUGGAGUUGCUAGUAACCGCAGGUCAGCUAUACUGCGGUGAAUACGUUCCCGGGGCUU
rnacentral:rRNA from 1 species